rnacentral:rRNA from 1 species
AAACCAACAGGGAUUGCCUUAGUAGCGGCGAGUGAAGCGGCAAAAGCUCAAAUUUGAAAUCUGGCUCUUUCAGAGUCCGAGUUGUAAUUUGAAGAAGGUAUCUUUGGGUCUGGCUCUUGUCUAUGUUUCUUGGAACAGAACGUCACAGAGGGUGAGAAUCCCGUGCGAUGAGAUGAUCCAGGCCUAUGUAAAGUUCCUUCGAAGAGUCGAGUUGUUUGGGAAUGCAGCUCUAAGUGGGUGGUAAAUUCCAUCUAAAGCUAAAUAUUGGCGAGAGACCGAUAGCGAACAAGUACAGUGAUGGAAAGAUGAAAAGAACUUUGAAAAGAGAGUGAAAAAGUACGUGAAAUUGUUGAAAGGGAAGGGCUUGAGAUCAGACUUGGUAUUUUGUAUGUUACUUCUUCGGGGGUGGCCUCUACAGUUUAUCGGGCCAGCAUCAGUUUGGGCGGUAGGAGAAUUGCGUUGGAAUGUGGCACGGCUUCGGUUGUGUGUUAUAGCCUUCGUCGAUACUGCCAGCCUAAACUGGAGGACUGCGGUUUAUACCUAGGAUGUUGGCAUAAUGA